GCGGGGCCGCCGCCAUGGCCUCCUGUGGCGGCGGCACGUCACCCCCUUUCCUCCUUCCGGGGCCGGCACCGCGCCCUCGCCGGGAGGCCUCAAACCCCCCGCCUAUGCACCCCUGUGCCUCUCGGGUAUAGCGGAACUUGAAAAUACUUCAAAAUAUUCCACUGCGCGAAUAGAGGGUAGGACCGUGUCAGGGUGCUGUGGCUCAGGCUGGGAGCGGGGGUGGUACAGGAGGAGCGUUGCUCCUGUGGCCGCUAAGCCCUGCGGGAAGGACUAAAACCACUCGGAAGAGCCUGGCUCCGUCCUCUUGGCACUCUCCCUGCAGGUGUUUGUACGGGUGGAUGAGAUGCCCGAAUGGUCCCAGCUCUCUCAGCCUUUCCUCGGAGGACAGAUGCUUUCUUGUCCGUCAUCCCUGUGGCCCUUUGUUGCCCUCUCUCCAGCAUGUUCACGUCUUCCAUACUGGGGAGCCCAGAACUCAGCACAGCCCUGCAGGUGUGACCUCAGCAGUGCUGAUCGGAGGGCGGGGAUCCCCUCCCUCGACCUGCCUCGUGCAUCCCAGGAUACCAUUUACCUUUUCAGCAAGGGCACAUUGUUGGCUCGUGUUCAAUUUCGUGUCCCCCAGGAUGCCCAGAUCCUUCUCUGCAAUCUGUUACCUUCCUCAAGACAAUGAAAUAUAACUGCUUUUUGACCACAAUAAACUGAGGGAAGUCUGUUAGGAAGGGGAUUUCUUUCUGACUUGAAAUGGCAAAUGCGCCAUGAAAGGAUUUAAAAAAUAAACGAACUCUCAAAUGCAAACUGAUGAACAUUCCAACUCCUAAUUUCCCCAGUAUGGGAAAUCACAUUUGAGCUGAGACAAUUUUUGUAGACCUGUUUUGAAAUCAAAUUACUUACUUCUAAAAGUACCAAAAUCAAGGAAGUGUUCCUUGACCAGCCACAAAAUAACAACCCCAAAACAAAAUAUGCUUUUAGAGCAUACCAUUAAUUUGUAAUUCGUGCAUCAUAUGCAUAAAAGUGUGUGAAUCAGAAUUGUAGGCAUGUUGAUAAUGUUGUACGUGUAUAGGGAUUACUAAUUUUUUGGGUAUGCAACCUUUUUCAGGUAUCCGCGGCUUUGACAAACUUUCUCUGUGAUGGUAUUAGGCAUGGUUCGUGUCUGUCUCAGAUGAAAGUUUUGAGAAAUUUUUAGCCAGCGCAUUUCAGCUGUGUCUAGCUUGUUGCUUUGCCAAGUUUUUGAGCGAAAACAAUAGAAUAGCCGCUGUUGGUGACUGCCCUCCCCCUCUCCCUUGGUUCCUUUGUGUUAUGUUAGAGUAGAGCAAAAGAGCAUAAUUCCUUCUGGUUUCCACGUUAAACAAUCAGAAAAAACCCUAGGACUGCCAGUAUUUAGCUUGAAAGUGUGACAGAGAAGUGACAUGUCCACCCCUAUGCAAACAGUUGUUUGCACAUGCAUGGUUGAGAGUUUUCUAAUGUUCGUGGUUGAACAGGCUGUAAAUUCUGUGGUUUCCUUGCAUGACUCGAUUUCAUGUACACCUGUGCCUUUGUGCUGUUUACACUUCUUUCUUCGUAACCCAAAGGGAAAAGUCACAGGAAGAACCUGAGAGAGCAACAGGUAUCCCAUUGGCUUCCAGUACAAAUGGAAGAAAUGAUCGUGUGAUAUGAGGAUAGAAGGAAAAAAGCCUCCAGGAAAGAGAAGAAUGUGCAGGAUGGGCUCUUGUGAGAUAAGGGCUAGGAUAGGAAAGCUUCUAAGCCUAGGAUAAAACCAGCUAGGCCUCAGGUUUUUUAGAAGGGAAUAAAUUUAAGACUAGGUAAAAGAUAAGUAAGAUACAAGGAUGGGAACUAACCAGGGAAACUGUUGCUUGUCAGCACACAAUACGACUUGAUAAAAACCUAGUCAGGAGGGAGAAGGAAUAGAUUUUGCUAGAUAAAGAGACAGCAUUCAGAAAGAAUGGACAAAGUGCUGCAUAGCAGCUCAUUAGGUAAAUAAAUUUUGCAAAUGUGCACAGUGGGUCCAACCAUUAAGUUAAUAAAACAUUGUAGAGAAGGUUUCAGAAUUAAACAUUAUUUCUGCCUCUGCAAAAUCUGGGAGCAAAAGAUUUUAAAAAGCAACCCAGAAGAGUUGAUUCCACGUGUCGAGUCCAAGUUUAAAGUACUGGAAUUCAGUUUUUACAGCAUCGAAAUGGUAAUCUGUCUGUUUAGGAAAGAGGCCUCAAUGGUGUGAAGUGCAUAGCUAGAUACAUGAAAAGAAUGUAGCCCAAUUCAAGACCGUACUGAGAGAUUCACUUUCGUUUUUGUCCAUCUCUGUCUUGCCCUGAAGUUGUCACAAACUUCGCUGAUGACAAAAGCUGUUCUGGGCUAUCCCAUCCUCUUGUUGAAGCCCUUCUCACCUUGACCUUACUGUGAAGCUAGACUGAACAGUUACCGAGUACUUAGAGUAGUCUGCAUAGAAUUUUAAAAUUUGGCACAAAUUCUGCCCAUUGCUAGGAUUUCAAUGUAAUGUAACUUACUCCAAUAGGACUGAAAAGGCUUUCAUGUUUGUUUGAAUAAUCAAAAUAUUAUGUUGUCACUCCAACUUAUUUCAGCUUUUCACAUUCUCCUUUCCUAAUGGAUAUUCUCUUUGCCCACACCAGAGCCAGUUACAGUUCUGCCCUUGUUUUUUUAAAACAUAAAUCCACCUGCUACAUAAAUGUGAUAGUCUUCUAAAAAGCUAGGCUCUAGAAUUUGCUUGGUUGAUGUUACUUAAUGCAUUGCAGUGAGCAGAUGUUUAGUGGAUUGAGGAAUUCUUACAAUUUCUUCUAGCUAGCACAUUAAAAUAAACAGUCCUAUAAGCAGGGAGGUGGGUAGGUCUUAGUUUCUUUUGUAUUGUCUUUUGGGUUGAUUCUCAGUGAUCUGCCAUGCAAGCAAGACACAAUAGAAGCUGUUCUCCUGGUUGCAUUAUUAACUUGGCAUCUAUUAAGAAGAAAAUUUAUGGUGAACCUUUAUUUGUCAUUGAAGAAAUAGUUACCUCUCUCACCAGUCUUUACAAGACUGUUAAAAAGUUGUAAUGCUUUUGCAAUGCUACUUCCUUACAGUUAAUGAAAAGGUUUAAAUAUCACUGAAGAACACAGAACCACAUACAACUGAUUUACAAGCCUCCUUUCCUCUGGCAAAUAGGCUAAACAAGGCAGAUGUAUGUGUGCUUGUCUCCUAACUUGCCCUCUGCUUCAUCUUUGCCUCGUCCCCUUUUCUAGUGAUUCUUUUGGGAUGGGAGGCCACAAGACCUACCGAUCAGGAGAUGUGCCUGGGAGCAGAAACCAGGGGUUUGUCGCCAGUUCCAAUCGUCAUUUGCCAUGGCAAUAAGUGCCGGCAGGACAGCUAUGUACUUUUCUUUUUUUCCUCUCUUUACCACUUACCUGAAAACAGUAAAACAUUCUCUUGCUCUAUAUUUGUACAGGGGAGUCGCAAUCAUGUAUCCAAAUUCUAACUGUAUUCUACUUCAGUGGGUAACAGUAAAUCUUGUAAUUUCUUACCUCCACAGACCAGAGUUUUAAACUCUCUCAAAAUAGAAAAAUUCCAGUAUCUCAUCUGAACAUGCAUGUUCUUCCUUCCUACAGGAAGUGCUAAAACUCUUAAUGCUUAAAAAACUAGCAGAUUAUGAAAUUCUUAGAGAUGCACAGUUCUCGAGAAAUUUUAGCAGGGAUUUGAGAAGAAGCAAUGGCAAUACUUCCACCAAGUUACUUAGACUUACGGCAAUGCUCCUGUUCCACGCUAGAUUUUUGUUGAAUUUCAAGCUAGUACUUCCUCCAGGCUAGGCCAAGUAAUUAACUUUAGUCAAAUGCAAAAAUAAAUUUAAAAGAAAAUCAGGGUGAUAUACUGGGAAUGGCAUUUGUGAUUAAGUGAAUACAGUUACUCCCUUUUGAAAAACCUUAGUAUCACCAAGUUGAGAUGCUUUAACCUCUUCCGUAGCUAAAGAAGUAGAAUAGCAUCAGGAAUAGAAUAGAAUAGAAUAGAAUAGAAUAGAAUAGAAUAGAAUAGAAUAGUUCAUUUGGAAAGGAUCAACAAUGAUCAUCUAGUUCAACUGUCUGACCACUUCAGGGCUGAAACACUAUUAAAACAUAUUAUUAAGGGCACAAUCCAAAUGCCUCUAAACACUGACAUACCUGAGGCAUCAACCAUCUUUUAGGAAGAUUUAAUUUAAUUUAAUAAUGUCUAGUCUGAAUCUCCCUUGGAACAGCUUUGAGCCAUUCCCAGGCAUUCUGUCCCUGGAUCCCAGGGAGAAGAGCCCAGCACCUUCCCCUCCACACCCCCUCCUCAGGGACCUGCAGGGAGCAAUGAGAUUGGCCCUCAGCCUCCUUCUCUGAACUAGACAAAGCCAGAGUCUUUGUGUAGGACUAGACUAUUACUAUAGAGAUGAUGCACUAACAAUAACGCUCAUCAAUUAUAGUCGUCAAAAAUCUAUAUAAGCAUUAAUUUCCCAUCUCUGAGCAUUUAACCAUUACCACAUUCAUUUUUACUGAAGUGAUUAUAGGGCUCAUUUAGAUUAAAUGGGAAGAUACUUUGCAGUUUCUGCUAGCAUAAAGCAGCAGCAAUAUUGCUUGGUAGGUCAUUUUAAUUGACCUCAAAGAAAUUGUUUCAGCAUGACUCCAUAAGUUUGGGCAACACUGGUCUUUCCUACACUAUUUCCUCAGGACUCCACAGAACAUCAGCAAUACAGAUCUAUGGUGUAACAAGUUCCACACCUGACACCACAGCUGACUGAUGUGAACCUACAGGUACACAUUCCUGGGUUGUUGACCCAAGUAUGCCAGUGUGCUCAAGGGCUAAUUAGUAAGGUCUUCUUUAAGUGGAGUUUUAUCUUAGGAUGUGCAAGUUUGCAUUAGAAAAAGGCCAUUAGACUAGGAUAUAAGAUGAUGAUCAGAAGUCCUUGUUGUGGAAACCACCAAAGCACAAAAUCAUCUGUAGGCAUGAAACCCCAUCUCUCUGCUAAAUCUGGUGUCAAAAGUGUUGAAGGACAGAGGUCUUGUCACAGUACUAAAAAAUACUUAGGCUGGGCAUAAAAAAAUGUAUCUGGUGAACUGUUAAAGGAGUGCUGAAUCGGUCUUACGAGUGCCUCAAUCACACCGAUUGUGUGCUGUAGUGCUGUAAAUUCCAUUUAAGAAAUAAAGAAUUGUUUUUCUGUCGAAAGUCUGGAGAAAACAACUUCUUGCUCUGUCACGUUUACAGCAUUGACGUGGCUGUGCUGGGUACGUUUGCUGUCUCAGGUGUAUCAUUCCAAGAAAAUGUCCAUAUGUUAAAAGGUUAGUCCUUAAUUUUACACUCUCUCAUAGUUACAGUAGCUGUCAAAUAUAGCUGCCUUGCAGUAUAUGCUGUAUGAAGUGGGUUUCUUAAAAUAUUUUGGAACUAUGUUAGGAAGCUGGACAAAAGUAGUUUGACAAUGCCUUCUCUUAUUAAUUGGUCCAGGUGCAUCAGGUGUGGCUCAAUGAUGAUUUUUCAGCUGCAUAGUUCAUACAGACCAUAGCAUUAUUUAUCCUGUGCAAACACUGAAACAACACUCAUGCUUUUCUCACUGUACGGUCUGGUUAUUUUUUCAUUGUCUUUUAUCAGGAUUUUCAUCAAUGUUUCCCCACAGCUUCCAGAUUGUUCACACUGCAGAUGCAGCAGUUCUGUUCACUGGGCUGGGCAACAGCAAUCACGUUACCCAUGCCCUGCAUUCUUUACAUUAGUUGCUCAUAGGAAGAUAAAUUUAAUAGCUAGUACUAAUUGGGGAUGGAAGGACACUUGGUUGGUUGUUUUAAAAUCUGUGACUGUCACAGCAAGAAGGCCUAAGCUCUGUUUGCUUUUUACUGAUACUUUUGCUAGUGACUGUUUAUAUUUUGAUGCAGCCCAUUGCCUACAAAGAUCAGUUUGUUAUAGCAGUUUACCCUGAUAGAGCUCUCGUGAAUGACACUUAAGAUAUGAAGCAGGUGUAUUUGAGUGCAUUUUGAACCUUAGAGUUUUUCAGUACUAUUUUUGUGGCUGAAUUUCAAUUUUCCAUGAUUAUUUAAAUUAUUUAGAAGCCCUGCAAUGCUUCUGACUAUAACAUCUUAGGUAUGGAGUGAACUUCACUGGCUAACACUUUAUAAGCACUAAAUUGAGGCUACAGAGCUUUCUCAUUGUGUGUUCCCCAGUAUCUUCUGGAGAAGCCCUGCCUAAAGUGAAAUUUUUAGUGUUUCAGGAAAAGUUUAAGGCAUAUUUUUUUGUUAUUUAAGGGAUCCUUUAUAUUCUUCUAAUAACCAUUAUCAAGGGAUGUUCUGAAUAUUUUAGAUCCCAUAGGUUUGACUGCUACGAAGUUUCUGGAUUUUAUUAUUCUCUAUUAUAAAAGGAAUAAAAAUUUUGUAGGUAGAAAUUCCCAGCCAGUAUUUUUCAUUUAAAUGUAUAUCUUAGCUUUUCUAAAAAAGCUAUAGUACAGAAUUAUUUGUGGCAUGAUUCUUGCUUUAAAAAAAAAAAAAAAAAAGACUACAAACAUCCCACUUUGUACGUAAGUUGAAAAUUGUUUUAUUUAAAGGUGUAAUGGGUAUAAUGGUCCAGCUGCGAGACUGUUGCAUUUAGCUUGUAGUUAUUAAGGACUUAACAUCGAUAAGGUUAUGUUCAAGAAACCCAUUUGGAUAAAGCACAGAAUGAUUUACAUCAAUAUAUGCUGAGGAAAUGUGUUUCAUUGAGAAAAAGGUACAGCAAAGAGUGAACCUCUCUUUCUGUAGGCAGUGACAAUCAUGAAUAGCAUGGUAGAAAAUGUUUUGGUUCAUUAUCUUCUUCAUCCCUGGCACAUUUAAUGUCUAUAGCUUCAUUUAAAUUAAUGUGUUUCUUCUUUCUAGCAUCUUAGGUAUAUGCAGAGCCACUGGUAGUCUUCAAAUAUUAUAUGGAAACCUGUAAUGACACCCUUUUGCGAUUACUUGUAUUAGAGAUGACAGAGUUUUGUUCUGAAGUAAUAGAAAUGAAGGAAAGAGCAUUGCAUUUUCCUAAUAAUUAUUAUUUAUAUAUAUUUUUUUCGUUGUUUUGUAUUGCUUCUUAACUGCACUUGGAGAGUUAAGACAGAUCAAAGCUAUGCAUUGGUCCAGAUGCGAAGUGCAAGAAGAGCAAAAGAGCAAGAAAUGAGGCAGCAGCAGGAAUAGCAAUUUGGGACACCUGUGAUAGGUGAAAGGAUUGGGAGAUGUCAGAUAAUCAGUAAGAGUGCUCUUAUGCACUGCAGAGUCAUGCUGGAGAAUGCGGCCAUUAAACUAUUAAGAUGAUAAACAGAGAUGGACAGGACCAUAAGCUAUAUAUUGCAGUAGGGUUCUUUCAAUUUUUAAUCUAGCUUUUUAUGAGCUGCUUGUAUUGAACAACUUUGAUAGGGAAAUCUGUAUGAUUCUCGUUUUGUAGCUGCUCAUCACAUCCUUCAAAGACCUGCGUCCAAGUGUAUCUUCACAGCUGAUCACGGCUGAUACAAAGAGAGUUUUAGUGCCCGUUGCAGCAUACGGGGGAGUGAGCUGUGGAAUUCCCCUUACUUCAAUGUGACGUCUGACACUGAAACGUGACCGUGGACAAUACAGCGGGACAUAAGAAACAGAAAUCAUAGAUCUUUGUCAAGGCUUCCGAUUACACUGUGUUGUUCCAACAGCUUCUGAAAAUGAUUCUGAAGACUGAUGCUGGUAGAACUUUCAUACUGCAAGAAACAAACGGAAUCGCUGCAGAAGUGCUGAACUGGCAAGAACAACAUCAGCAUCCAUUUGUUUUAUUCCUCUCCUUAGUAAAAAGCACAUUGAAUAUUACUGUAGUUUUUGAAGUAUUGUUGAAUUCAAAAUCAAUUGCUGCACAGAGGAACUUAGUGGACUUGAGAACUACUUGGCACGUGUGAGGAUUAGAUACGUAGAAAGCAACUUCCCUUUUUAAAUUAUGAGGAUGUUGUGCUUUGUUUUGGAAGGCAUCAGAUUCCAAAUAUUCGAGGAAGCUCUGUCUCCCUUUGUGUUUCCUUACUGUAGUCAGACUUCUGGUUUUGCCUUACUGAGCUUUGCUCCUGUACUGGCAUUAAGUGGUUAUAGUGGGUUUCAGGGGGAGGGCUGGGGUGUCCAUGUACUUACAUAGGUUUUGUCUGGGUGUUCUUAAAUGCCCUCUCUUGCUGCAUCACAUAAGUGAUUGCUUCCAUUGUGAGUUAUUGUUGAGUUAACUCCAUUGAGUUAUUCCAUUGUGCUUAUCCUUGAACACAAGGAUAAGCAAGAUACUGAAGAGAUUAUUUGGGUUUUGUCUUAUUUGAAGAUUAUUAUUUAACUCAAAAAGCAGUAAGAGCUUGCAGUGAUCUUUUAAUACUUGAUGAUGGCCUUUUUAUGUACCAGUCUGGAAAUCUGAGGUUAUAUUUGAUACCAUGUGACUGUUCCAUUAUGGAAUACUGCAGGUGUAAACUCUUGCAUUUCAGCAUUCCUAGCAGAUACGCAACUUGAUAAAGACCUAAGGCUGUUUAGUUUAAUCGGACUAUUUUUAGAUCCCACCCUCACUGUUCAAAGCACUGGUUAUCCAUGUGUUUUCUAGUGUUGUCACUUAUUUAUAAAUAAAGAUGAAAGAGGUAAUGCA